AUCUAGCUGAUGUGUCCCAAAUAGGAUGAAACACAUGUCUUGGUU
rnacentral:hammerhead_ribozyme from 1 species